rnacentral:rRNA from 1 species
CUAACAAGGAUUCCUUUAGUAACGGCGAGUGAACAAGGAAAAGCCCAGCGCUGAAUCUCUCGAUGUUACAUCGUUGAGAAAUGUAGCGUAUAGAUGUGGCUAUCAGUUUGUGCUACAUGUCCAAAGUCCCUUUGAUAGGGGCCAUCAUCCUGAGAGGGUGCGAGACCUGUGCGGACAGUGGAGCAAGCUGUACGGCUACAAUCUUGGAGUCGGGUUGCUUGAAAAUGCAGCCUAAAGUGGGUGAUAAACUUCAUCUAAGGCUAAAUAUAGACGCGAAUUCGAUAGCAAACAAGUACUGUGAAGGAAAGUUGCAAAGAACUUUGAAGAGAGAGUUCAAGAGAACGUGAAAUCGCUGGAGUGGAACCGGAGAGAGUUGACGUAGUCGGGUAACUAACAUCACCAGAGUCGCUUAAAUGUGACCGCGGCGGCGUUUCUACGUUACCUAUGACUGCGCUGACAGCAUUGGCUGUACGUUCCGAAUCGUUUACGUUGCCCAACGUUUCACAUGGCGUUGGUGUCUUGUUUACGGCUAGGUUUGUUGUGGCUAGUGUUUUAUCCUGCUUUCAUGCAGGGUGUCAGUGUGAAAGUCGACCACCUCUCCGACCCGUCUUGAAACACGGACCGAGGAGUGUAACUUGUACGCGAGUCAAAGGGUGGAAAACCCUAUGGCAAAAUGAAAGUAAAGGUCGGUUAACCGGCUGACAUGGGAUCCGUUGUUUCGCAAAGCGGCGCACCAUGGCCCUGUCUCGCCUGCUUGCAGAUGGGCAGCGGUAGAGCGUACAGGUUGCGACCCGAA